CAACAACGAAUGUGGUAUUAACCAUUUUUAACUCUUAGCAUUUAUUAGUAGACUUUAAUUCUUUUCAUUGAAUUAUUGAAUAAUUGACCAAGCCCAUAUAUUCCAACAGAAUCAAAAUUGAAUUGCAUCUGUUGCUGCGCAUACAAGCCUGAGUAGCAUCAAGUCUACAGCAAGUCAGCAUACGCAUCAAGAAGGGACAGAGCAUCGAGUUGCUGCGCCCGGAAAUUCAAUUUGUUGAAAAUUGCUAAAUGCACACCGUUGGCUACCGUAAUGAUCCAGCUCCUUGCUAAUUGACAAAGCUCCGACUCGACGACUACUUUGACUACGCCGUGAC
rnacentral:lncRNA from 1 species